rnacentral:rRNA from 1 species
AUUGAACGCUGGCGGCAGGCCUAACACAUGCAAGUCGAGCGGAUGAAGGGAGCUUGCUCCUGGAUUCAGCGGCGGACGGGUGAGUAAUGCCUAGGAAUCUGCCUGGUAGUGGGGGAUAACGUCCGGAAACGGGCGCUAAUACCGCAUACGUCCUGAGGGAGAAAGUGGGGGAUCUUCGGACCUCACGCUAUCAGAUGAGCCUAGGUCGGAUUAGCUAGUUGGUGGGGUAAAGGCCUACCAAGGCGACGAUCCGUAACUGGUCUGAGAGGAUGAUCAGUCAAACUGGAACUGGGACACGGUCCAGGCUCCUACGGGAGGCAGCAGUGGGGAAUAUUGGACAAUGGGCGAAAGCCUGAUCCAGCCAUGCCGCGUGUGUGAAGAAGGUCUUCGGAUUGUAAAGCACUUUAAGUUGGGAGGAAGGGCAGUAAGUUAAUACCUUGCUGUUUUGACGUUACCAACAGAAUAAGCACCGGCUAACUUCGUG